rnacentral:rRNA from 1 species
CCUACGGUGGGCAGCAGUGAGGAAUAUUGGUCAAUGGGCGGAAGCCUGAACCAGCCAAGUAGCGUGCGGGAUGAAGGCCCUACGGGUCGUCAACCGCUUUUGCACGGGGAUAACACCCUCCACUUGUGGAGGUCUGCAGGUACCGUGCGAAUAAGGGCCGGCUAAUUCCGUUCCAGCGGCCGCGGUAAUACGGAAGGCCCGAGCGUUAUCCGGAUUCAUUGGGCUUAACGGGAGCGUAGGCGGGCGUUCAAGUCAGCUGUAAAAUCGCGCGGCUCAACCGCGCCCCGAAGUUGAAACUGGACGCCUUGAGGUCACAACAGGCAGGCGGAAUUCGUGGUGUAGCGGUGAAAUGCAUAGAUAUCACGAGGAACCCAGAUUGCGAAGGCAGCCUGCCGGGGUGCGACUGACGCUGAGGCUCGAAGGUGCGGGUAUCAAACAGGAUUAGAUACCCGAGUAGUC